GCGUGUGUGCGAGUAGAGGGUCUACACAUCUAGGCCUCUGUGAAUGAUUUUUUUCAAAUUUUUAGAGAUUUGAUCUUUGAUUCUACUACUAAUCAAGUAAAUAUUUGAUCCUUAUUCAUGUAGAUUAAUAAAAAAAUUUUAGAUGCAAUCUGAGCUAUCCGAAGAGAAACUAUUUUCCUUUCCUUCAUUGAUUUCACCAAAAAUGAGGAAGAGCCGUGUGUGUACAAAAAGGUCAGUGGGAGUACUGUCACAUUCUUCGUAUUGUAUGUGGAUGACAUUCUCCUAAUUAGAAAUGA
rnacentral:lncRNA from 1 species